rnacentral:rRNA from 1 species
AUUGAACGCUGGCGGCAGGCCUAACACAUGCAAGUCGAACGAGUGGCGGACGGGUGAGUAAUGUCUGGGAAACUGCCUGACGGAGGGGGAUAACUACUGGAAACGGUAGCUAAUACCGCAUACCAUCAGAUGUGCCCAGAUGGGAUUAGCUUGUUGGUGGGGUAACGGCUCACAAAGGCGACGAUCCAUAGCUGGUCUGAGAGGAUGACCGGCCACACUGGAACUGAGACACGGUCCAGACUCCUACGGGAGGCAGCAGUGGGGAAUAUUACGCAAUGGGCGCAAGCCUGAUGCAGCCAUGCCGCGUGUGUGAAGAAGGCUUUCGGGUUGUAAAGUGCUUUCAGCAGGGAGGCGUUACCCACAGAGGAAGCACCGGCUAACUCCGUGCCAGCAGCCGCGGUAAUUC